CCCAGCCGCACAAGAAGGUGCACGCUGACUCUUCCCAGGCAGGCUCGGAGUAGAGGUUUCCAUUUCCUGAAACCCUGCCCAUCAGAGGCAGCCUGUUUCCAAUUACCAUACCUACUGGUCAUUAGAUGAGAACAGGCUGAACACAUCGCAGGCCCUAGCACUGCUGGGUUGUCCUGGAAGCUUUAACCUCAUUACUGUAUUAAUCGAUAUUUUGGAGAUGAACUUUUGACCCAAUGCUCAUCCAGCAUCCUUUCCUCCUGGACACUUCCCUCGAAGGCAGCGUGAAGCAGAAAGAUCUGGAGUGAACCCUGACAGGCAGAGGUGGCCCUGUCUGCAGAAGAUCAGCCUUCUCACCUUACAUGGAUUCAAUCUUCAUCCAGCCAAAGGGAUCAAACUCAGGACCUUGUGUUUUCCAGGCAGGUGUGGUGCUGCUGAGCUACAUCAC
rnacentral:lncRNA from 1 species